CGUUACUCCAGAUGUCAAUUAAUAGCUGGGGACUACGAACUUUUGUUUAAAACCCUAAGAACUUGGCGGCGUGGUAUUAGUCCAGACAGGGGAACUUGACGCUUAAUUCGAUGAUCCGCGUUUAAUCUCAUCUUUUCUCGUAAGAUCAGGGGUAUAUCGCUGUUGAGGGGGCGGAGAGAUCAGAUAAAGGCCUCCGAUAAAAGGGGUUUUCCACUAAAUUCAGGUAAGACGCCCCCAAUGAAAAGAGGUUAGUUGCGUUACAAAAUUUUGGAUAGAUCUGGUAGUUACGGUUUUGAAAUAGGACUUGUUAGUAAAUAAAAAUUAAAACGUUUUGUUGAAUAGGGAAAUGUCGCGUACAAAU
rnacentral:rRNA from 1 species